GGAUCACCUCCUUACCUGAAGAUACCUUCCGGCGCAGUGUCCACACAGAUUGUCUGAUAGAAGUAACGAGCAAAGUCACACCAGAGUCCCCAUCGUCUAGAGGCCCAGGACACUGCCCUUUCACGGCUGUAACAGGGGUUCGAAUCCCCUUGGGGACGCCAUACCGGUAACGAAGUGAAAGACGUUAUCAACCGUAUCUCAAAACUGAUUGUGCGAAAGCGAGUCACGUUUGAGAUAUUUGCUCUUUAACAAUCCGGAACAAGCUGAAAAUUGAAACGACAUGUCGUGUUCAUUCUCCGUAAUAAGAAUGAAGUUAACGACAUGUUCGAGUCUCUCAAUGCCUGCAACUGACAGACGUCUUUCGGGACGCUUGUGGGUUGUGAGGUUAAGCGACUAAGCGUACACGGUGGAUGCCCAGGCAGUCAGAGGCGAUGAAGGGCGUGCUAAUCUGCGAUAAGCGUCGGUAAGGUGAUAUGAACCGCAACAACCGACGAUACCCGAAUGGGGAAACCCAGUGCAAUCCGUUGCACUAUCAUGUCAUGAAUACAUAGUGGCAUGAGGCGAACCGGGGGAACUGAAACAUCUAAGUACCAA
rnacentral:misc_RNA from 1 species